GAUGAACGCUGGCGGCGUGCCUAAUACAUGCAAGUCGAGCGAACAGAUAAGGAGCUUACUCCUUCGAAGUUAGCGGCGGACGGGUGAGUAACACGUGGGUAACCUACCUAUAAGACUGGAAUAACGUUCGGGAAACCGGAGCUAAUGCCGGAUAAUAUUUGGAACCGCAUUGGUUCUAAAGUAAAGAUGGUUUUGCUAUCACUUAUAGAUGGACCCGCGCCGUAUUAGCUAGUUGGUAAGGUAACGGCUUACCAAGGCGAUGAUCAGUAGCCGGUCUGAGAGGAUGAACGGCCACAUUGGGACUGAGACACGGCCCAA
rnacentral:rRNA from 1 species